rnacentral:lncRNA from 1 species
UGUAGAACCCUUUUCUCAGGCAAAACCUAACAUCUGACCGCACCCUUUUUGCUAUUUAAAAAAAAAAAAAAAAAGAAAAAAAAAGGUUCUUUUUUUUUCCUCCUUUCGUUAAGAUAAAUUCUCCAAUAGACAACCUCUCCCACUAAUUGUGUAUUAGCAACGUAUUUUAUCUUGAGAGCUUGUACACUGGGCUCUCAACGUGGUGUGGAAGGUAGCCUGUUACAGUGCUGGAUUCAUAAAAGGGCCUUUAUGGUUUGUGAAAGAAUAUCUGUGUGCUUAGGAAGGAAACUUUUUGAUCUGCAGAAAAGCCAGAAGACAUCUAGGAUAUCCAUAAAAAUUCAUCAGACAGUGUUUUACUACUGAGCUACAAAGGGAAAAACUUAAAAUGGAUAUGAAAAGUGAAGAAAGUGAUCAUAGGAGAAAACCAUUUCAGAUGACAAGAGCACCUCAAAGGCAGCAGCCUCUAGGAGCAGCCAUGGUCCCAGAGUUGUCCCACGGAUGCAGAAAACGUAAUGGAGGAGUCUGAGGUUGUGGAAAAUGCACUAGAAUCAACAAACAUGGGGACAAAUUCAACUCGGAUAUCAAGUCUUCAGAGAAGUUUUCCUGCCUUUCUCUCCCUGUAGAAUUAAGUAUUCUUCCAGUGUGACACCAUCUAACUUGUGCUCACAUCUUCCUCUAUUGUAGUUAUGUGUUCACAUGCCUGUUUUUUUGUACCAGGUUCUCCCAAAGGGAGACAUUCAGUCUUACUCUUCUUGGUAACUUUAGCACAGACCUGGCAGAUUGUUGAUGCUCAACAAAUGUUUAUUGACUCAGAUACGUUCAAUUGAACAUUGACUUUUGAUCAACUCUGGGAAAAGUCUGCAAAGCUAGUGAGGACAUUCAGAAAUUAAUUUCAUUUCAAUCUUAACUAAAUAAAUUAUUGAAGUCUCAGAACUUCUCA